CAGAGAUAAGAAAAUUGAGGCCAAAAGAGGUCUGGAGACUUUCCCAAAUCAUAUAGCAAGAAUAAAAAAGAGAUCUACCUUCAUCAGGUGACAAAGUAAGAAAGAGAAAGGGGGAAUGGGGUUAUCUUCUGUCCCCGUGAGAGCUGCCAGGAUAGUGUGGUUGGGCCCCCAUCGCCAACACCCAGCUGGACUACAUCUCCCGGUCUCCCCUGCUGGCAGGACACAGCCUCGUGACUGAGUUCUGCCCAACAGAAUGUGAGCAGAAGUGAUCAAUACCUGUUGCGGAUUGUCUACAUCCCUUACAGACGAGCUCAACUUGCCAAAAUUAAACAAAGGACUCUUGAGAGAAAUGCCACUCUUGAGAAAUGGGGAUAUUCGGAAAAUAAACUGCCCAUUUAUAGAGGCCAU
rnacentral:lncRNA from 1 species